rnacentral:rRNA from 1 species
AUACGUAGGUGGCAAGCGUUGUCCGGAAUUAUUGGGCGUAAAGAGCAUGUAGGUGGAUACUUAAGUCUGUUGUGAAAAUGCGGGGCUCAACCCCGUAUUGCGAUGGAAACUGGGUGUCUUGAGUGCAGGAGAGGAAAGGGGAAUUCCCAGUGUAGCGGUGAAAUGCGUAGAUAUUGGGAGGAACACCAGUGGCGAAGGCGCCUUUCUGGACUGUGUCUGACACUGAGAUGACGAAAGCUAGGGGAGC